GUUGAGUUGAGUUGAGUUUGAUAUGUUUUAAACCUUAAAUUAUAUUUUUCCCAAUUUAAGGUAUUGCUAAAAAAAAUACUGGCCAUUAAAACCAUGAACAGGAACAUUGAUCAGUCUCAGGCUUGUUCUGCCAUUAUUUUAUUUUUAGGCUUAUUAUAUUAAUCAUCUAUCCUUUUUCUUGUGCUCUAAAUUGUUUGGAUUGCUGAGUACCACCAUAAGCGUGUAGAGUAAUUGCA
rnacentral:misc_RNA from 1 species